AGCUUUGCGCAGUGGCAGUAUCAUAGCCAAUGAGGUUUAUCCGAGGAGCGAUUAUUGCUAACUGAAAAAUAGAAUUGAGCAAAAAUCACACAUGAAAUAUUACAGUUGUUGUCUCUUGUAAGGUCAGUCAUGGC
ensembl:snRNA U4 U4 spliceosomal RNA